rnacentral:rRNA from 1 species
UACGUAGGGGGCAAGCGUUGUCCGGAAUCAUUGGGCGUAAAGAGCGUGUAGGCGGCUUGGUAGGUCUCGCGUCAAAACCUGCGGCUCAACCGCAGUUCGCGUGGGAAACCACCUAGCUAGAGUCCGGAAGAGGAGAACGGAAUUCCCAGUGUAGCGGUGAAAUGCGCAGAUAUUGGGAAGAACACCAGUGGCGAAGGCGGUUCUCUGGGACGGUACUGACGCUGAGACGCGAAAGCGUGGGGAGCGAACAGG